rnacentral:rRNA from 1 species
UACGUAGGGGGCGAGCGUUAUCCGGAUUCAUUGGGCGUAAAGCGCGCGUAGGCGGCCUGCUAGGUCGGGACUCAAAUCCGGGGGCUCAACCCCCGCCCGGUCCCGAUACCGACAGGCUUGAGUCUGGUAGGGGAAGGCGGAAUUCCAAGUGUAGCGGUGGAAUGCGCAGAUAUUUGGAAGAACACCGGUGGCGAAGGCGGCCUUCUGGGCCACGACUGACGCUGAGGCGCGAAAGCUAGGGGAGCGAACAGGAUUAGAUACCCUGGUAGUCCCUGAGCGGGCU